GGGAAUUAUUGGCUCGGCGCUACAACACGCCCUCAGCCUCUCUGGCUGUAAAUUGAUACUGUACAGCAACAACAGUCCAGCUGGCACGAAUCCGCUCGAAGCCCGUCUGCUUUGCACCGAAUUGGCUGGGGAGACCAAAAAGCAGGAACAGCUGCUCUGAGUUUAAAACAGUGACAGGAUUGAUAGACCUCUGGUGGCGAGCCCAGGUUCAAGUCCCACCUCCUUCUAACGCUGUGUGAAAACAACUCUGAACAGGCUGAUGGUGCCAGACUUGUUAAGUACUUCCAGCAUUUCUUCAAUAUUCAGUGACUAAAGUAUUUUGCUUUUGAGUUCAUAAUCGAUUCUUGUCAAAGCUCUUCAAACAACUAAAUGCUUUUCCAUUGGCUGUGUGUGGUAUUGGAUCUCCAGCUAGAAGAGGUCCCGAAAGCAUCUGUUUAUUGCUUCAAUGGGAACAUAUCUGUGUAUUGAGAACCUGAGCACAAAGCAAUCCCUCUGCUUUUUUCAUUCAAGAACAUGAUCAACUUGCCCUUGAAUCUGAAAGAAUUGUUCAGCAAAAUGGCUUUGGCUGAUGGUAUAAAUUGUACAAGC